AAAGUUCAUUCAUUUGAACUGAGUUCAAUACAUCUUGUCUAUUUAUGAUAACAUUAAGAAAAAAAAACAACAGAAUACUCAUCAGGGAACUGUUCAAGCUUUAUCAUCAAUAACAUCAAUAGUACGUCAUCAAAUUUUAUAUAUUGCCAGAAGACACUAUCUAGGCAUCGUAUUCUGCCUGGUAGAACUUGUUCUCAGGAUAAAACACAGCCACAACUUGAUUCCC
rnacentral:misc_RNA from 1 species